GCAGUAAUGGCACGGAGAGGAAUCGCCUCCGGAAAUCGUGUAGCUGCACACAUGAGGGUGACCAGACCAAGGGUUCUCGUGUGCCAACGAUAACACCUGCUGGCGAUACGGUGUGGGUACAACUAUUUGAGUUACCACACCCCAAUCCAUGCCAGCGGCAACAGGAGGACGUAUCUGACAAGGGCAAGACCCCCGCCAGUAAGAAGGACUGGGAUGCCCCAGUGUCCCUUAAAAUUCGAACUGCCUUUUGGACAUUCGGUUCCCCAACCAGAGACACAAAUCCUUCAAAUACGAAUGGUGCGUAGCCAACGCUACCUUCUUCACUGGUACUGGGAAGUUUAUGAGAU